GGCAAGUAUAAUUCUUGAUCUAUAACGCAUGACCCGCACCUCGAAAUGCAGCUCGGGACUUCGAUGUGGGCCGGGCGGAUAGCAUGUACCGUCAUGAUAUCGAAUGGCGAAAGCAAAACGGGGUAGACGACAUGCUGAAAAACUACAAGACUCCGCAGAUCGUGAAGGAAAACUUUCCCGGCGCAAUACUGCAUCCGUGUAAAGAUGGCUGCCCUAUGUGGAUAGUUCCAGCAGGCAUCAACGUAAAAGG